rnacentral:lncRNA from 1 species
UGAAUUUCUGGAGAGCAGAUAAAAUAACUCGCGUACGUCAUAUUGACUGUGUGUAUCUCCCUGACCGAGUUCAUUCUGUUCAGUUCAUCAAAAGCACAUUUCAGUCAUGUCUCGAGUUGUCGCGUUUCUUGUUGCAUUCUCAAUAUGUAUGUACCACUGCCAAUCCGAAGAAACCAUUCUCAGGACAGCAGAACACCCAUGCAUAGAAUGUGAAUUGCAUGAUCAGAUGAAAGGAAGGCUAGACGACAUGAUGAAUACAGCCAAUAGGUUGAGUAGAAGGGCAAUGAAUUUGAAUGAACCGUUGAAAGAACUGGAAGCUUGUGAUUGUAUGCAGCAUCCAUAAUGAUUGAAAAAAGUCUUCACAGUCGUAGGAAUGUGCAGUUAUUUGCUACUGUAGGCAAAAUGUUGGUCUUAACUACUGUUAUUGUGUAUCCCAUUGAAUACAAGCCAGAGUCUUUGCAAUGAGAAUAACAGCAGAAUUAGUAUAUGUAAUGAAAAUUUAUCUUCCUUGUACCAAAAACACUAUCAUGGAGCUUCCGUCUUGAUAAUUACUGUAAUCUGAGUUCAGAUCACAGGAUUGAUGAUCAAAACUGGCCAAGUAUCCCAAGAUAUAAUAGACAUGUAUUUUUUGAAGGCUAGCCAACAUUGUAUUAACCUUCAAUAUUAUUACAGUAAUCUUCAUAAUUGUACGCUAGCUAUAUCAGCUUCAGUGCUUUUUACAUAUUAGAUUAUUUGCCUAAUAAAUAUUUAUUAUGGGAGUAGAAAUUUUGAAAUUCUAUUGGGAUUCAAUGAUUAUUUUAUUCUCCCAGAAUUCAUUUACAUUUUAAUACAUUUGUGUAUGUUAUUAAUUUCACCUAAUAGUAUGGGAUGUUUUUAAUAAUACAUAUCAGGCCAACAAAACAAAAAUAAAUUUGUUUCUGGACAUUGAUCAUGUCAGUUUGAAAGGUGAGGAGUGUCACAUCAUAUUUUACAAAAUAUUUGUAAAAUAAUUUAUACAUCAAUUUAAAAAAAAUAAAGGAAAUGCAUGUUACCACUUCAUUUUUUUGGCUAUAAGCCAUUUACCGGUAGAACAGUGAAUGCUUAUGCAGUUCAACCACAGCAGACCAACCCAUGUUGUAUUGUCUGUCUGUCUACUUGACAUUUCUGCUAUUUUAGUACCGGAUAUCUUGAAAAAUUCAAUAGAUGCAGACAACCCAACCCAACACUCUUGUUUUUGUAACUCUUUGGGGAGCACCUUUUAUGGAUGUCAAAGAUUUUGGUCUCAGAUUUAGCUUUAGGUUUAGCAGAACCUAAACUUAAAUCAUCUCUCACAGAAAUGGUUUCUAUAUGUAUCACAUAGGUUGAUAUAGGUAGCUAUACAUCAGUCAAAUAAUAACAAAUUACUGCAAUAUAUUCAUAAUACCGGUAGAAAUCUUUAAAUUAGUAAUUGUUUCAUCAAAUGGUGCAAUGUUCAUCUAUCUAAGCCUGGAGAUUGUUACUGUAGAAUACUUUAUUUCAGUUUGAAAUUUUCACUAAGAGUAAAAUCAGUGGAAUUGAAAUCCAUGAAUAAUUUACAUGUACCGGUAAUUCAACUCCUAUUUAUGGUUUAGUGAAAAUAA